rnacentral:rRNA from 1 species
AUGAAUUGCUUGGCCUGGAACUGUCGGGGACUGGAGUUGGAUUCGACAGUUUGCGAACUACGAGACCUGAUACGGUCAUACAACCCAGCGGUGGUGUUUUUGUCGGAAACAAAGAAGAAUGCUAGGGCAAUGGAUAGACUAAAGUGGAGCUUGGGGUUCCGAAAUGGUGUGGCAGUGGAUUGUAAUGGGAAAAGUGGUGGCCUUGCACUUUGGUGGAGAGCAUUGGUGGAGGCAGAACUUUUGUGGAGUCUGUGCAAGUUGAGCCUAAGUGUAUAA